UUCGGACCUUGAAGGAAACAACAAUCGCAUUUAUUCCCUUCUUUUGUAGAUUGAUUUAUUUUUGCAACAACGACCAUAAGGAAUCACCACAACGAUCCUUCAAUUCCUGAUGAAGGGGUAUAGGGCUACUUCGGCCUCAGGCACCCCGACUAACCGACAUGACUAGGACUGUAUCUAAAGGUGCCUUUUCAUAAACGAAUGUUGUCAUAGUAAUGUACGCUUCCCACAAAGGAAUUUAGUUCGAUUCCACUUGCGGAUUGCACUUUCUUCGAUUGCUUCUUAGUGAUGCGGUCCCUCGAAUCGUAAAGACAUGGUUCCCAGUAGAACACCAAAGUCAAGCAUCACUGGCUGCUGUCAGUAAGCGGGUAACAUGUGAAGGAAUAAUUUGUCUACAAUUUCUCAUUUCGCGAAAGAAUCAAGUCACGGAGAUUAGAGCCAGUGUGAAUCCAACGGUGAUUCUAUCGUCUUAAUAACUGUUGCUAAGAUAUAAAUUUCUCAGAUAAAAGAGCUAUUAACUAUACUUUGAAAGUAUACUUUCUCACACCACGCAACUACAUCCAAGCCUCAUCUAUCUUUUAACAGCCAUGGUCGGAAUGCAACGUAAUUUUGACCUUGAUAACAUGACGUGGAAAGCUACUGAGCUGGUACCCUCUCUCUAAACUUCCACACCGCAACCAACGAAUGGACUUUCAGUCACGACUGAUUUAACCUGCAUCUUACUGCGUGGCUGUUUCUUCAGCUGUCAGAAUCGAACUUACAGCUCUCAGCUCUCCAACCAGUAUCAUACGUUCAUGUGAAUUGCUACGAAACCAUAAAGGAAAAUUGUAUAUUUUGAUAUCUUCAAAUAAGUUUUGAUAUUGAAUUUAAAAGAAGCAGAA